GCACCAGUGGUUUAGUGGUAAAAUUAGCCGUUGCCAUCGGCUAGCCCCGCGUUCGAUUCGCGGCUGGUGCA